CUCAACCGUGGAACAAAUGUUGGCCAAACACGUGUUUCACUGGGACAAUAGUGAAUGGUGCACACUUCCUUCGUCAAGCCACAGAACAAAAAGUCACAUUGAAGAGUUGCUGGUGUAACAAUUGGAAGAACAUAUUUCACUCCUCUCUUGUACGUGCGGCUAAUGAGACAACUGUGAAGAACAUCUUCUCCCUGAGCAACAGGAGUGGAGCUUCAGGAUGGGAAAGGAGGAGCCACAGCCCUCCCACAUUAAAGAAGAAGAGGAGGAACACAGCAUCAGUCAGGAGGGAGAGCAUCUUGAAUGGUUGGAGAAGUUCCCUGUGAUUGUGAAGAGUGAAGAUGAUGAGGUCAAAGGUGAAAGUGAGGAGAAGAGAGAGGCGGAGCCUCCAAGCAGCAGCUCAACUCAACACAUGACAACAGAAGCUGAUGGAGACCACUGUGGAGGAUCUCAAGCAGACAAGAUCUUAGCUCCACUAUCAGAUAGUGACGACAUAACGUCUCACUCUCCUGACACUGAUGAUGAAGACUCUAAAGAUGAUAAGACAUGUCACACUGACAACACACACUUGACAUGUUCUCACUGUGACAAAAUGUUUAAAUACUCUGGUAAUCUAAAAGUACACAUGAGAAUACACACUGGAGAAAAACCUUUUACCUGCUCAGAAUGUGGUAAAAGAUUUGCACGAAAAAAUGUGUUAAAAUUACACAUGAGAACACACACUGGAGAAAAACCCUUUACCUGUUCAAUAUGUGGUAAAGAUUAUACUCAAAAGACAAAUUUGAAAGUACACAUGAGAACACACACUGCAGACAAACCAUUCAUGUGCUCAGUUUGUAGCAAAAUGUUCUCUGUAAAAGGAAAUUUAGUAAUGCACACAAGAAUACACACUGGUGAAAAGCCUUUUAUCUGUUCAGAAUGUGGUAAAAGUUUUAUACAAAGACAGCAUUUGAAAAAACACAUGAGGACACACACUGGAGAGAAAGUGUAGAGUUGCAGUGUGUGUGGUGAAAGAUUUUCUUCUAAGUACCAGUGUAAGAAACACAAGUGUGCUGGUGAGAACAGCAGCAGCAAAUGAAGAUGCAGGAUUUGAAAUAAACUGUCAAAACUCA